rnacentral:pre_miRNA from 18 species
UAUGCCAUCGUGAUUAACGGUCGGUUUUCACCUUGAUCUGAGAGCAAUAACCAGAAUGCUUAUCUGAGAUCAUCGUGAAAGCUAGUUGUUACUUCACUCGGCU